rnacentral:rRNA from 1 species
GACGAACGCUGGCGGCGUGCUUAACACAUGCAAGUCGAACGGAGCGAAUGAAAGCUUGCUUUUAUGAGCUUAGUGGCAAACGGGUGAGUAACACGUAGACAACCUGCCGACAGGAUGGGGACAACAUUCCGAAAGGAAUGCUAAUACCGAAUGAAGUCAGAGGAGGGCAUCCUUCUCUGAUGAAAGAUGGCCUCUUUUUAUGCUAUCACCUGUUGAUGGGUCUGCGUCUGAUUAGCUGGUUGGUGAGGUAACGGCUCACCAAGGCGACGAUCAGCAGCCGGUCUGAGAGGAUGAACGGCCACAUUGGGACUGAGACACGGCCCAGACUCCUACGGGAGGCAGCAGUGGGGAAUCUUCCGCAAUGGGCGCAAGCCUGACGGAGCAACGCCGCGUGAGUGAAGAAGGUCUUCGGAUCGUAAAGCUCUGUUGACGGGGACGAACGUGCGGAGUGCGAAUAGCGCUUUGUAAUGACGUACCUUCGA